rnacentral:rRNA from 1 species
AUUGAACGCUGGCGGCAUGCCUUACACAUGCAAGUCGAACGGUAACAGGUCUUCGGAUGCUGACGAGUGGCGAACGGGUGAGUAAUACAUCGGAACGUGCCCGAGAGUGGGGGAUAACGAGGCGAAAGCUUUGCUAAUACCGCAUACGAUCUCAGGAUGAAAGCAGGGGACCGCAAGGCCUUGCGCUCACGGAGCGGCCGAUGGCAGAUUAGGUAGUUGGUGGGAUAAAAGCUUACCAAGCCGACGAUCUGUAGCUGGUCUGAGAGGACGACCAGCCACACUGGGACUGAGAGACGGCCCAGACUCCUACGGGAGGCAGCAGUGGGGAAUUUUGGACAAUGGGCGCAAGCCUGAUCCAGCCAUGCCGCGUGCAGGAUGAAGGCCUUCGGGUUGUAAACUGCUUUAGUACGGAACGAAAAGACUCUGGUUAAUACCUGGGGUCCAUGACGGUACCGUAAGAAUAAGCACCGGCUAACUACGUGCCAGCAGCCGCUGUAAAAC